rnacentral:rRNA from 1 species
GGAAUCUUAGACAAUGGGCGCAAGCCUGAUCUAGCCAUGCCGCGUGUGUGACGAAGGCCUUAGGGUCGUAAAGCACUUUCGCCUGUGAUGAUAAUGACAGUAGCAGGUAAAGAAACCCCGGCUAACUCCGUGCCAGCAGCCGCGGUAAUACGGAGGGGGUUAGCGUUGUUCGGAAUUACUGGGCGUAAAGCGCACGUAGGCGGAUCAGAAAGUUGGGGGUGAAAUCCCGGGGCUCAACCCCGGAACUGCCUCCAAAACUUCUGGUCUGGAGUUCGAGAGAGGUGAGUGGAAUUGCGAGUGUAGAGGUGAAAUUCGUAGAUAUUCGCAGGAACACCAGUGGCGAAGGCGGCUCACUGGCUCGAUACUAACGCUGAGGUGCGAAAGUGUGGGGAGCA